UAUUUAUUUUUUAAUAUUUAUUUUUUAUAUUUUAUAUUUAUUAUUAAUUAAUAUUUAUUAUUAAUUUAAAUUUUUUUGAAUCUUUUAUUUUAUAAAUCAAAUAAAAAAAAUCAAAUAAAUAAGACUUCUUUUUUUUUAUUUAAAAAAUUUGAAUUUAAAAAGAUUAUUUGAUUUUUUUUAUAUUAUAUCAAUCAAUAUUAUAUAAUAUUGAUUGAUAUAAUAUAUUGAUUGGAAUAUAAAGUUGGAGAUGUCUUUUUAGAGCCCUUACUUUAUCUAAAUAUCUAAAUGAAAAUGGAAGAAUUGCUGAUGAAAGUUUUCCUAUUUAUCUUUUAUUAUUUUAUAGUUAUUAUUAUACACUAAAUUAUAUAAAUUAUAUAAUAAUAUAUAAUAAUAUAGAUAAUAUAGAUAUAAUAUAUAAUAAUAGAUAAAUAUAUAGAUAAAUAUAACAAAUAUAAAAUAAUAAAAGAUAAAUAGGAAAAUAGAGAAUUAUGAAAGUAAUAAAGAGAGAAAAAAGCCUUUAUUUUUUCAAGCCUUACUUGUUGUGUAAUGUAACAUAGUAAUUAAUUAUCCUUUUUCAAUCGGGAGAGAUGGCUGAGUGGACUAAAGCGUCGGAUUGCUAAUCCGUUGUACGAGUUAUUCGUACCGAGGGUUCGAAUCCCUCUCUUUCCGGUUUCGGUGAUGACUUUGGAAUUUUUUUUAUCUUUUCUUUAAAAUUUAGCGAACCUUUUUUGUUUUAUUUAAUAUUUAAAAAUGUAGAAUAGAUAAAAAAAUGCUAAGAACAUUUAAAAAUCAAGAAAAACCUUAUUUUUUUUUAUUCUUCACGUCCAGGAUUACGUCCUGGAUCAUUAGAUAAAAAUCCAAAGAUGAAGAGAGAAACAAAGAAUAUCACUACUGUGUAAACAAAGAGUUUGAGAGUAAGCAUUAUAAAAUCUCCAAGAUCUUUUUUUGGUUUAGAAAAAAAAAAAAUAGAUUCUCUAUUUUUAUACCACAUAUUCUAUUUUAACACCAAGAAAUGCAGUGGUUUCUAGAAAUAGAAAAGACUUUUUCUUUUGUUAAAUUCAUUUGUAUGUAAUAAGAGUCGAGUCUUUCAUUGCCAAAAAAUUUCUUUCAUACCUAAAUUUAGAUGUUUUUUUUCAUAACUACAAUUAGGGCUCUAAUAGGAUCUGGAAUGGAAAAAAAAGUUCAGAAUGAGAAAAAGUGGGAUGAUCCAGAAUUCUCGCGUUUAUACAAUAACUUCAAUGUUUGAAUUAAGAGUUUAUACUAUAAGACUUAUCUGAUCUUAUCAAUUGUUAUAAUUUUUUUUUUUUCGAAUAAAUCAUGAAUUAUUCUAGAACAAUAUUAAAGAUCUCAUCGAAAACUUACAGCAGCUUGCCAAACAAAGGCUAAUAGAAAAAAGAGUACAGGGAUUACUGGCAUAACAUCUACGAUUGGAUUCAAAAAGGCGUAGGCUUCGGGCAAUUUUGUAAAGAAAAAAUUGCUUGAAAAAAUGGCAGAAUUAAAACAGAUACAAAUUAAACUAAAAAUAUUAAGCAUAACAAGCAUUUUUUUUUUGAAAAUAAUUGUAUUUUGACUGAGUUAUUAAUAUAUUAUUGAUAUAAAAAUUGAUAGAAAAUAAAGCAAGGUAGACCAAAAACCCUUCUUUAUUAAACUAAACUCACCCAAUCAAAAAUCCUUCAAUUCUCAAAUCAAAAAAGAAUAGAGGAAAUCAUAUUUUUUAUACAAUAUCUUAAUUGAAUUAUAUAUUAUGAUCAAUAAAUUCAGUUUAAUUCUAUAUCUACAUAUACAAAAAUCUUAACAACAAGCUAAUAUAUUUUCUAAAUUUUUUGAUAGGAAUUGACGAAGAACCAAUACCAAUAUUAAUUUUUAUUAGUGUUGAAUAGAAAAUAUAAAUGGGGCGUGGCCAAGCGGUAAGGCAACGGGUUUUGGUCCCGCUAUUCGGAGGUUCGAAUCCUUCCGUCCCAGCUAUUCUAUAUAAAAAACUAUAGAAAAAUAUAAAAAAAUGGGAUCCUUCCUUAUUUGAUUCAUCAUCCCUCAUAUAACAUAUAAUUGGGGAAGUAGAUAGGAGUUCAUUAGUAAUGGAAGAUAUCAAUUUCAACGCCUACGCCUGUUAAAAUCUCAUUAACAAACAAAGAAAAUACAUAUAUAUGUAUUUUCUUUUAACUAACCUCAUUUUUUUUUUUUCAGAUAUUUUGUCUUUGGCUUUAACUUUAAUGAAGAAUUCUAAAUCUAUCUAAAAAUCGAGACAGGGUUGAUUCAUAUAUCCUAUUCACUUUACUUUGGGAAAAAAUUUGAAAAAGACUCAAGUCGAGUCAAAUAAACUACUAAAAAAAUGAAGAAAUGCUUAUAUGUAUGUAUUCUUAGCAUUUUUUGAUUAACACCUUUGUUUUGUUUCUAUUUUUGGAAUGUAAAAAAAAUUCAUCAUCCCUUACGUAAUUUCAAUAUUUAACUUAGAAUAUCCAUAAUUAAUUCCAGCGACAAUUCUUUAGUCUAUCUAAUAAAUAAGAUGUAAAUAAGAUGACCCUCUAGUAUUUCGAUACUGAUUUUAUCACUCAGUAUCAAAGAAUAACAACUUCAAAUUUUCCUUACAUCAGUCUUUUUUAUCUACUACUGUACUAAAAAAAAUUGGAUUUUUUUUUUAACCUAUUUAUUUGUUUUAAAUCGUUGAUGGUUUAAUCCGAAUUUGAAUAUGGGGGUUCUUUCUCUCUUAUGAUGAUAAAAUAUGUUUCUUAUUGUAAAACAAAAUUUUAUUCAAAUAAUGAUAUCGAGAUAGGCAAUUUUAAAAUUAAAUCUUUUUAAGGAUUUUUUAUGAGUUCUUGGGACUCGAAGAAAUGUGAGAUAGACGAAUCUGUUCUAUGGAGUCACUUGAAGAUUCAAAAAGAUCUUAUUUCUUUGUCUUAUUUCUAAUAUUAGAAUUGUAAAUAAAAAAAUAUUCAUACAAUAAAAUAUGGGGUUAAGUUAAAUUGAAUUCUUUCUGACACUUCUUCAGAAAUUAACCAAUAGAAGUUAAAUUUUUAGAUUACUAUGUACCGGUUGAAUCAAUGACUAUUCACGAUUCUAUAAUUGAAUCAAUUACAUACUAGUUCAAAACUAAGGAAUGUUAUGGUAAAACUUCGUUUGAAACGAUGUGGUAGAAAGCAACGUGCGACUUGAAGGACACGAUCGGCUGUGGAUUCUUACAUCCACCCUAUUAAUAUUAUAUAGUAAUAUUAUAUAGCAUAUAGUAAUAGUAUAUAGGAAUGAGGGUGCUCUUAGCUCGACAUCGUUUGUUCUGUUAUACACUAGAGCCUUCAUUUUUUGUUGGGUUGUAAUGUAAAUAGUACAUGGUGGAGCUCGAGUAGAAAGGAUUGAUUUCUUUCUUAGGGGCAAGAAUCUAGGGUUAGUACUAAUCAAUAAGUUGGAACAACUUCGUAAGUAUAUUUUCGAUAUCGAAAUAGAAAGAAUCCAAUUCGAGCAAGUUUAAAAUCCAAGAAAAAGUUUGUUGGAAUUACCAAAAUUCUUUUGAUUAAAAAAUAAAGUGUAUCACGCAGGAAUCAAUCGUUAGUCCGAUUCUUUGAUAGAAAAAAAAUCACAAAAAGUGGUAUGUUGCUGCCAUUUUGAAACGAUUAAAGAUCACCGAAGUAAUGUCUAAACCCAACGAUUCAAGGCAAACAUAAAGGAUCCUGGAACAAGUAAAUACCGUUUUCAAUUGUCUCAACAAUUAGAUUAGAAUGAAGAAUCAAAAAUAGAUUAUAAAAGAAAGAAACAAAAAUAAAGGGGAUUAGAGAUCACUCAAUAAAUGAAAUGCCUAAAGGGUUCCCUUUGAGCUAUUUGAAAGUUAUCCAACUUGAGUUAGGAGGGUACAGAUGAUUUUUUUCUUUUUUGGUAAACAAAAAUAAGAAGAAAAGGGACUUAAAUCAUAGUUUAAUUGAUUUGAUGAUUUUAUGGAUCUAUUUGACACUAUAAUUCUAUACAUAUAUAGAACUUCGAAUCAUUUUUCUCGAGCCGUACGAGGAGAAAACUUCUUAUACGUUUCUACGGGAGGGGUCUUUUUUUUUCUACUUCUAUCCCAAUGAGUCGUUUAUCGAAUCGUUGCAAUUGAUGUUCGAUCCCGAAGAGAAGGAAGAGAUCUUCGGAAAGUGGGGUUUUAUGAUCCGAUAAAAAAUCAAACCUAUUUAAAUGUUCCUGCUAUUCUAUAUUUCCUUGAAAAAGGCGCUCAACCUACAGGAACUGUUCAUGAUAUUUUAAGAAAGGCGGGGGUUUUUACGGAACUUCGCCUUAAUCAAACGCAAUUUACUUAAUGAAAUACAGGGUGUGGGUAAUUCGUAUACAUAUAUAGCUUUCUAUAACCUUUUCUCUACUAUCCCCCCCUCUCUUGUUCUAUUCAUACUCUAUUCAUACCUAUUUUUUUUCUUCAUUGUGUAUUUUUUUUUUUUUCAAUAUAUUCACAUUCAUAUUGACAACAGUGUAUCAAAUAAAUAUAAUCCGAUCUGAGGUAAUUGGAUCUUAUCUGUGGAUCUAUUUAUCCCCGUUCCAUGGAUUUGGUUUUUUCUUCAUUCAAGUGAUGGGUUUCUUGGAUUUGUUGUGAUACAAAAGUUUUUUUUGAUUGAAAAAAAUGUAUAAAAAAAUGUUAUUGUUAUAGUUAUAAAAAAUAUAGUUAUAAAAAAGUAUUUUUCUAUAUUUCUAUAUUUAUAUAAAAAUAUAGAAAAUAAAAAACGUAUACAUAUACGUAUAUAUAUGUAUAAUAAAAAAAUAUAAGAAUGGAUAGCGAAUAUAAGAAUAGAUAGCGUAAAAGACAAGAGGUGAUCUAUAAAAUUUUAUUUUAUCUAUAUCUAUAUUUUUUGAUCUCUUCUUUUUUUUGUUCAGAAUUGAUUAGAAAUUUUUAUAUUUCAUUUCUUUUAAUUUUUUGCUAAUUUAAUGUUUUAAUUGUGUCGUAUGAUUCAAUCUCUUUAUUUAUUUUGAUUCCGAUUGUAUCUACAUAAUCUAAUUUUUUUUAGGAGGGGGGGGAAGGGUUGCUAACUCAAUGGUAGAGUACUCGGCUUUUAAGUGCGGCUAAUAUCUUUUACACAUUUGUAUGAAGAAAGGGAUUCGUCCAUACUAUCGGUAUAGUUAUAGUUUGUAAGACCACGACUGAUCCUGAAAGGAAUGACUGGAAAAAACAGCAUGUCGUAUCAAUGGAGAAUUCUGAGAAUAUUUCAUUUUUGCCGGAUCGACCCAAACUUUAUUUGAAUUUUUGGUGCGGAACAUAAAAAAAUGAAUUCAAAAUUGGGUCGAGUGAAUAAAUGGAUAGACUCCUACGGUUCCAAUUAUAGGGAAACAAAAAAGCAACGAGCUUACGUUCUUAAUUUGAAUGAUUAUCCGAUCUAAUUAGACGUUAAAAAUAAAUUAGUACCUAAUGCGGGAAUUUCUAUGAGCAGAUUUUCUAUUUUCUUUUAAUAAGUCCUAACUAUUAGGUAUUCUCCACUAUGAGGGGGAGAUGGAUGUGUAGAAGAAAGAGUAUAUUGAUAACGAGAUUUUUUUCCAAAAUCAAAAGAGCGAUCGGCUUGAAAAAAUAAAGGAUUUCUAAUUAUCUUUUUAUCCUAUCCUAUAAUACACAUAAAUACACAUAAACCAAUUAGAUGGAAAAAAAGAGGGGAUGGGGAGUCCGUUGAUGAGUUUGCCUAUUUCCAAGGUAUCUAUUCUUUUCUUAUUAUACUACUUUGUUUUUACUGUAUCGCACUAUGUAUCAUUUAAUAAUCUAAUAAAAAUCCUCUAUCCUUGCUGCAAUCAAAGUGAAUUUAAAAUGAAACAAAAAAUGGAGGAAAGAUAUUUAGAAUUAGAUAGAUCUCGAAAAAACGACUUCCUAUACCCAUUUAUCUUUCGGGAGUAUAUUUAUACAUUCGCUCAUGAUCAUAGUUUAAAUAGAUCUAUUUUGUUGGAAAAUGUAGGUUAUGACAAUAAAUCUAGUUUUUUAAUUGUAAAACGUUUAAUUACUCGAAUGUAUCAACAGAAUCAUUUGAUUAUUUCUGCUAAUGAUUCUAACCAAAAUCCAUUUUUUAGAUACAACAAGAAUUUGUAUUAUCAAAUGAUAUCAGAGGGCUUUGCAGUUAUUGUGGAAAUUCCAUUUUCCCUACGAUUAGUAUCUUCUUUAGAAAGGUCAGAGAUAGUAAAAUCUCAUAAAUUACGAUCAAUUCAUUCAAUAUUUCCUUUAUUAGAGGACAAAUUUCCACAUUUAAAUUAUGUGUCAGAUAUAUUAAUACCUUACCCCAUCCAUCUAGAAAAAUUGGUUCAAACCCUUCGCUAUUGGGUGAAAGAUCCCUCUUCUUUGCAUUUAUUACGACUCUUUCUUCAUGAGUAUUGGAAUUUGAACAGUCUUAUUAUUCCAAAGAAAUCUAUUAUUAUUUUUAUAAAAAGGAAUCCAAGAUUUUUCUUGUUCCUAUAUAAUUCUCAUGUAUAUGAAUACGAAUCCAUCUUCUUUUUUCUCCGUAACCAAUCCUUUCAUUUACGAUCAAUAUUUUUGCGAGUCCUUCUUGAACGAAUUUUUUUCUAUGGAAAAAUAGAACAUUUUGCGGAAGUCUUUGCUAAUGAUUUUCAGGCCACCCUGUGGUUGUUCAAGGAUCCUUUCAUGCAUUAUGUUAGAUAUCAAGGAAAAUCAAUUUUGGCUUCAAAAAAUAGGCCUUUUCUGAUGAAAAAAUGGAAAUAUUACCUUGUC